GACGAACGCUGGCGGCGUGCUUAACACAUGCAAGUCGAACGGAAAGGCCCUGCUUUUGUGGGGUGCUCGAGUGACGAACGGGUGAGUAACACGUGAGUAACCUGCCCUUGACUUUGGGAUAACUUCAGGAAACUGGGGCUAAUACCGGAUAGGAGCUCCUGCUGCAUGGUGGGGGUUGGAAAGUUUCGGCGGUUGGGGAUGGACUCGCGGCUUAUCAGCUUGUUGGUGGGGUAGUGGCUUACCAAGGCUUUGACGGGUAGCCGGCCUGAGAGGGUGACCGGCCACAUUGGGACUGAGAUACGGCCCAGACUCCUACGGGAGGCAGCAGUGGGGAAUAUUGCACAAUGGGCGGAAGCCUGAUGCAGCAACGCCGCGUGCGGGAUGACGGCCUUCGGGUUGGAAACCGCUUUCGCCUGUGACGAAGCGUGAGUGACGGUAAUGGGGAAAGAAGCACCGGCUAACUACGG
rnacentral:rRNA from 1 species